GGAUGUGAGGGAGAUCUGGCUGCAACAUCCGUCACCCCAUUGAUCGCCAGGGUUGAUUCCACUGAUCUGGCUGGCUAGGCCCGUGCCCGCUUCUGCCCUCGUGUGUCCCUCCCAAAGCUGCGCACUUGGUGGAAGAGAACAGCCUUCCCUGGACAGAGGCAGAGCAGUCUGUGGCCAAGGGUAUAUGAAUAGCUGCGCUCCCUGCUAGAACCUCCAAACAAGCUCUCAAGAACACAUGCGCAAGUGGGAAUGGUGCAUAGGGCAGCGGAUAAGUGGGUGAAGCUCUACCACAUCUGCUUAAAUGCUAAGACCC
rnacentral:snRNA from 1 species